UGUGUCCCUCAGAGCCUGUCCCUCGAGGAUGUCCAGGGAAGAUGGCCCCAAAUGCUCCUCCCGGAUCUGGGCUGUCGGGGACCCGGGAUCCCUUGAAAGGUGGCUGCUCAGCCGCACGGCUGGUGAAGGAGCGCAGCUGCUGCAUUUGGGUCUCAGGACCCUUGUCCCAGCGGAGAUGCAGCCAACUGCUACUGGCCACGGAGAGAACCCCCCCAAACACACACACAGGGGAAGUUUCUGGGGAGAGAGAAAACCCAGAGCCUGGAGCUGAAACGAAGCGAAACGAAUCAUCUGCACAUCCGGCGCCGGACUGGGAAGUGACCGGAGGACAGGCCUCCAGGACCGGACCUGCC